rnacentral:rRNA from 1 species
GUGGGGAAUCUUGCGCAAUGGGCGAAAGCCUGACGCGGCCAUGCCGCGUGAAUGAUGAAGGUCUUAGGAUUGUAAAAUUCUUUCACCGGGGACGAUAAUGACGGUACCCGGAGAAGAAGCUCCGGCUAACUUCGUGCCAGCAGCCGCGGUAAUACGAAGGGGGCUAGCGUUGCUCGGAAUUACUGGGCGUAAAGGGCGCGUAGGCGGACAGCUUAGUCAGAGGUGAAAGCCCAGGGCUCAACCUUGGAAUUGCCUUUGAUACUGGCUGUCUUGAGUUUGGGAGAGGUGAGUGGAACUCCGAGUGUAGAGGUGAAAUUCGUAGAUAUUCGGAAGAACACCAGUGGCGAAGGCGACUCACUGGCCCAAUACUGACGCUGAGGCGCGAAAGCGUGGGGAGCAAACAGGAUUAGAAACCCCGGUAGUCC